ACAGAGGGUGCGAGCGUUAAUCGGAAUUACUGGGCGUAAAGCGCACGUAGGCGGCUUGGUAUGUCGGGUGUGAAAUCCCCAGGCUCAACUUGGGAACUGCAUCCGAUACUGGAUGGCUUGAAUCCGGGAGAGGGAUGCAGAAUUCCAGGUGUAGCGGUGAAAUGCGUAGAUAUCUGGAGGAAUACCGGUGGCGAAGGCGGCGACCUGGGCCAAUAUUGACGCUGAGGUGCGAAAGCGUGGGGAGCAAACAGGA
rnacentral:rRNA from 1 species